CCUACGGGAGGCAGCAGUGAGGAAUAUUGGUCAAUGGACGCAAGUCUGAACCAGCCAUGCCGCGUGCAGGAAGACGGCCCUAUGAGUUGUAAACUGCUUUUGUACGAGGGUAAACGCAGAUACGCGUAUCUGCCUGAAUGUAUCGUACGAAUAAGGAUCGGCUAACUCCGUGCCAGCAGCCGCGGCACGACGGAGGAUUCAAGCGUUAUCCGGAUUUAUUGGGUUUAAAGGGUGCGUAGGCGGUCGGAUAAGUUAGAGGUGAAAUCCCGAGGCUCAACUUCGGAAUGGCAUCUGAUACUGUACGGCUAGAGAGUAGUUGCGGUAGGCGGAAUGUAUGGUGUAGCGGUGAAAUGCGUAGAGAUCAGACAGAACACCGAUUGCGAAGGCAGCUUACCAGGCUACUACUGACGUUGAGGCACGAAAGCGUGGGGAGCAAACAGGAUUAGAUACCCGGGUAGUC
rnacentral:rRNA from 1 species